rnacentral:rRNA from 1 species
UACGUAGGGUGCAAGCGUUAAUCGGAAUUACUGGGCGUAAAGCGUGCGCAGACGGUUCUAUAAGACAGAUGUGAAAUCCCCGGGCUCAACCUGGGAACUGCAUUUGUGACUGUAGAGCUGGAGUACGGUAGAGGGGGAUGGAAUUCCGCGUGUAGCAGUGAAAUGCGUAGAUAUGCGGAGGAACACCGAUGGCGAAGGCAAUCCCCUGGACCUGUACUGACGCUCAUGCACGAAAGCGUGGGGAGCAAACAGG